UCUUAUUCACUGCAACACCUGAAAAGAAGAGAUAAGAGGAAGAGCCUAAAUCUACUAACUUGGAGAAGAGGAGAUGAUGAUGACUGAUCGAAGAGUCCUGUUUUUAAAGAAGCAGUGUAAUAUGGUGGAAAGAACAUUUAGGCCCACAGUCAAGAGACCUACAUUUGAAUCUUGGCUCUGCCACCCCUAACUAUGAAGUCAUGGUCCUGGAAUCAUGAACCAUGACCGAAUCAACUCUGCCAUUGCUUCUAAGAGGCUGUUAUCUACCUCCUUCCCAUGGCCCCAUCACCCCCACCUGGAACUUUCUGGACCAUAGUGACCCUCCAUGGUAACCACUUCACCAUGUAUGUUGUUUCUCCCAAUACAAGAUUUUUGAGAGCAAGAUUAAUGUUAUCUGCCUUCUUUGUA